UAUAAGAAUCUUGUUUUUAUUCAUUCAGCUAUACCAUGUCUUUCAGUUGGAGCAUUUACAUUUAAAGCAAUUAUUGGUAGGUAUGUAUUUAUUGACAUUUUAAAAGUUAUUUUAUCAAUGCUUUGUAGUUCUUCUCUGUUCCUCUCUUCUUCUCUUGCUCUCUUCCACUGCACUAAGCGCUUUAAAUGUGUUACCUUAUUUCAUCCUCCCAGGUACCACCAUCCUGAUAGUUUCCUUUUUCUACUUAGAAGACCAGGAAUUUAGGCUCAGGAUCAUCUUAUCCCAAAGAUUCUAGGAAUAGAAGUAAAGGAAUUGAUUUCUUAAAUCUAAUAAAAAUUCCAACAAACUGUAACAUUUAAGAAAGGAAAGCAGGAACAAUUUCACAAGCCAAACACUUUAGGGGAACUGAAUUUGUUGUUGAAUUUAAGGAAAGAAUUGUCUUACCAUUAGUACCAUAAGCAAUAGUUGUAGUAAAUACUUUUGAGAAAAAUGAUAAUGGAAACUUGUAAACUAAAUAUUUUGGAGAUAGCUCAGAUGGAGAUUAAGGCAUGGGGUUAUUUCUCCUUUCCCUUUUUAGAGGUCCCCAGGGAGAGUUAUUUUCUGACUAGCCCCUGGAUGGGGUUGGAAGGCGAAUCACUGAUGUAUAGUAAGACCAGCCAGGCUUGCAGUAGCAAUAGCAGAAAAGCAUUACUAGAAUCUUCUUUAGGAUGCAGAAGGUGAGACUUGUCCAGCCUCUCCCCACCCCCACCACUCCAUACAAUUUUUUAUUAAAGUAUAGUUGAUUUGCAAUGUUCUGUCAAUUUCUGCUGUAUAACAAAGUGACCCAGUCAUUCAUAUAUAUACAUUCUUUUUCUCAUACCAUCUUCCAUCAUGUUCUAUCACAAGCAAUUUGAUAUAGUUUCCUGUGUUGUACUGUAGGACUUCAUUGCUUAUCCAUCCUAAAGGUAAUAGUUUGCUUCUACUAACCCCAAACUCCCAGUCUAUCCCACUCCCUCCCCCUCCCCAUUGAUGACCACAAGUUUGUUCUCUAUAUCUGUGAGUCUGCUUCUGUUUUGUAGCUAGGUUCAUUUGUGUCAUAUUAGACACCACACAUAAAUGAUAUCAUAUGGUAUUUGUCUUUUUCUUUCUGACUUACUUUACUUAGUAUGAGAAUCUCUCUAGUUGCAUCCAUGUUGCUGCAAAAGGCAUUAUGUUGUUCUUUUUUAUGGCUGAGUAGUAUUCCAUUGUGUAUACGUACCAUAUCUUCUUAAUCCAUUCAUCCAUUGAUGGACAUUUAGGUUGUUUCCAUGUUUUGGCUAUUGUGAAUAGUGCUGCUAUGAGUUUUGAAUUGUAGUUUUGUCUGGAUAAGUGCCCAGGAGUGAUAUUGCUGGAUCAUAUGGUAGUUCUAUAUUGAGUUUCCUGAGGAAUCUCCAUACUGUUUUCCAUAGUGGUUGUACCAACAUACCCACCAACAAUGUAAGAGGGUUCCCUUUACCCCACACCCUCUCCAACAUUUUCUAUUUUUAGACUUAUUAAUGAUAGCCAUUCUGACCAGUGUGAGGGGGUACCUCGUUGUAGUUUUGAUUUACAUUUCUCUAAUAAUUAGCAGUGUUGAAUAUUUUUUUUUCAUGUGUAUGAUGGCCAUCUGUAUAUUUUCUUUGGAGAAAUGUCUAUUUAGCUCUUCUGCCCAUUUUUUCAAUUGGGUUGUUUGGGUUUUUUGCUGUUGAUUUGUAUGAGUUGUUCACUUUACUCUUCUAUGCUGAGUAACAGAAAUAUUACUCCAACAUUUUCCAGAUGUCAUUCCCUCUGCCCGGGGAAGUCACCUCAACUUCUGUCUCAAGCAUCACAAAGAGUGUCCUCUGGCAGGUUUGCCCUCCCUCCUUGAACAUGACUUCUCUUGUUCCUUUUCUACUCUCCAACUCUACAUCUGCCUCUUCAGGGCAGCUGCCUCGAUGUAUUGGAAUCCUUGGUCUGCACGUUUAUUUCUCACUAGUGGUUGAACCUUCUGAGUGUACGCACUCUUUUCAGCUUGGAGUGCCCACGGCAUUAAGAAGUCAUUUUGCAUGUUUUUGGGAUGAAUGACACACAUUCAAACAUGCUCUCAGGUCUAUAGACCCAUGUUUAAGCAAUAAAAUAAAAGACGCAAUGGCAAAAAUAUUACCCUUAGUGACCUGAUUUUUCAACUAGAGUAUAGAAUUCUAAAAUGCUAAUAAAACUUUGCAUUUCAGGGCUUAGGUUUCCUCAUCUAUAAAACAUGAGGGUUAAAAGAUAAUCCUAUCUACACACCAGAAACAGAUCAUGGAGACUUGUGGUUGCUGGCAGGGGCAGGGAAGGGAGUUUGGGGUCAUGAGGUUGGAGGAUACAAACUAUUACAUUGGGACUGGAUGGGCCAUGGGGUCCUACUGAACAGCACAGCACAGGGAACUGUGUGUGUUGCUGUACAACAGGCCUUGAGGAAACAUUGUAAAUCAACUAUACUUUAAUAAAAAAUAAAUAAAUAAAUUUUUUUUUUAAAAAUAAUGAACUCUAGGUGAUGUUGCCAAUAGCUAGAAAUAGCUGGAGCCAGGGGUGACCCUCCCAUCACCAUCCAGCCCAGUUUUCCUUAUAUCACGGUUCUUACCAGCAGAGUUCUCCUAGCCUAGCCUCGACUUGGAAGCCAAAAUCUCAGUAAUGUGAAUUUCAGAAAGGCCAUUGAGCCCUAAAUCUCAAUUUCAACAUUUCUUAUUAAUUCUGUUUGAAAUAAAUGAUCACCAGGAACAUUACAAUUCAGAUAUGAAAUAUUGCUACAUAAUUCAUUCUUUCAUUGUUUCCAGAUCAUAUGAUAUUGGAAACAAUGAAAUGAAAACCUUUUUUCUUUCUUCUUUCCUUCCUUCCUUCAUUUCUUCCUUCCUUCCUUUCACAAACUGUGACUGUCUGUGCUCCAAAAUACUCUUGAAGUGUAAGGUGAUAUUGGUGAAUAAAUAUCCACAAUAUCCUGAAUAUAACUUUCAAAUUUUCAAUCUUAUUUCCCAAAGGAAAUAUAUGCAACCUUAAGAAGAGUCAAUAGCUAUGGACAAUCAGAUUCAAUGUGUCAGCUGAGAGGUAAAAGAGUGAAUGAGUUCCACUUACAAAUCUAAUCACAAAGAGCACUAAAAUGCACCGCAAAAGCGAAAUCACUAGAGGCAGAUAGAAUUUCUCUAGGCCUAAUUUUUUCCUGUAAAUGGAAGGAAGAAAAAUGUAACUUCAGCACCUAUCAUAACCAAUUCAAAGGGAAGCUUCCUUCAGCAGCAAAUCAAAGUAUCUUACCCAUUAGAAGCUAUUCUAACUAUCUCAACUUCAGGCAGAUGGGGAGAAUUUGGAUAGUACACAGCUCUUUACGUUGCCCUUUUUGUUACAGUCAAGUACAGUCCAAGAGACUGAUCCCUGCAUGAAUGAGAUAUGUUCCUUUUUUUUUGUCGAAGAGUGCUGCACUUUCAUGAUUUCCCACAAAACAGCUGCAAAAAUACCUACAGUAGGGCAUCUGGAAUUCUUAAAAGUGACUUGAGGAUUUGUGGCUCAUGAAACAUUGUGAAAUAACACUCACCAUGUUGUAAAAAAAUACCCUUAACCAUUUAUUGGCAUUCUUGAAGACAAAAAAUAAAAGGUGCCCUCAGCAUAUUAGCCCAGCUUGAUUAGAAGAAAAUGCUAACGUGAUAAAGAAAUAGUGGAAAUAGAUGCCAGAAACCUAUCUUGAUGUCGUAAACAUUUAAAUCUCUUGGAAAGUUUGUGAAAAACAGUAUGGUAAAGGCCCACAGUGAUGGUCGUAGCUUUAAGUGUUUGAUCAGAUUCUGAGGCAUCAUUAGGAAUAACUUACAUGUUCUGUAAAAAAAAAAAAAAAAAAAAAAAUGUGGUUUCCUGUUGAGACCAAGCACUGUUCCCAGGAAAAAAAAAAAAAAAAAGGAAUUCUCCUAAAGAUGUUUUUCAUUUUUACCUCUCACAAAACAGGACUAUCAAAAAGAAAGCAAUGGCCUUUCCAUGAGAACUUGGGUCAAAUAAACCAUGUAUUGUUCCAUCUUAAAAUGAAACAUCUGGCUGAUUUGAGAAGAAAACCAGCUUAAUUAUUUCUGAGUAUCUAACAGAGAGAGAGGUUAACUUCAAAAUCUAUAUGUCUUUCCAAGGUGGACAUGGAAGGGAAAAAAAAAAAAAACUAUGAAGCUAUUUUUGACUCAGGAAAGUAGAUCUGGAGGUAAUUUAGUGAACACAAAUUACCACUGACAAGGGAAGAAAUAAUUUAUUCUCCUGGUGAGUCUUUUUAUAUGAGUGGGCAGUGUGGAACUGUCAGCAGGGAAAAGCCAUUUGGAUGGAUUUAAAAAAUCAUUGAAACCCAAGUCCAAAAUCCUCUACGACAUCCUGGACAUCAUUUGAAGUUGUGAGACUCUGUAGAGAAGUUUCAUGUCGAAAAUAAAGCAUGAGCGUGAAACUCUGAGAUAUAAAUUUGGGUAGAGGAGAGUUUUUUGUUUUGUUUUGUUUUGUCUUUUGUCUUUUCAGGGCCACACCUGCAGCAUAUGGAGGUUCCCAGGCUAGGAGUGGAAUCAAAUCGGAGCUGUAGCCACUGGACAAUGCCAUAGCCACAGCCACUAUGGGAUCCAAGCCACAUCUGCAAUCUACACCACAGCUCACGGCAACACCAGAUCCUUAACCCACUGAGUGAGGCCAGGGAUUGAACCUGCGUCCUCAUGGAUGCUAGUCAGAUUCCUUUUCACUGAGCCAUGACAGGAACUACUGGAGAAGAGUUUAUAGAUGGGAGAUAAAGCCUUAUGGAUAGCUAGCUUGUGUUUCUUAACAAAUUCAUCUCUUUUAGCCUUACUUUUUUCCCCCUGGGUCCUCAAUCUAAGAGUCUCUACUCACCAGAGUGUUUGUGGAUGUCUCCCUUGCAGUCCUUUCUCAGCUCUGUGGGCUCCUCCUGAUGGCUGUGAACUUGGGUUUACUUCACUGAUGGUCAAUACCAGGCAAAUUCCACUUUGUAGGGUGUUGUCCUUUCUCUGAUGGAACUACUGGACAUGGGUGGUUAGAACAUUGAUUUGACACCGGUCCACAUUUCCCCUCAAUUUCCUGUUUCCUCUUUUCUUCUUGGACAUCACUUAAAACUGACAGUUUGGGAGUUCCCAUUGUGGCUCAGCAGUAGCAAACCCAGAUAGUAUCCAUGAGGACAUGGGUUCAAUCCCUGGCCUCGCUCAAUGGGUUAAGGAUCCGACUUUGCUGUGAGCUAUGGUGUAGGUCGCAGACACAGUUGGGAUCUGGCGUUGCUGUGGCUGUGGUGUAGGCUGGCAGCUGCAGCUCCCAUUUGACCCUUAGCCUGGGAACUUCCAUAUGC
rnacentral:lncRNA from 1 species